rnacentral:rRNA from 1 species
GUCCUAAGGUAGCGAAAUUCCUUGUCGGGUAAGUUCCGACCCGCACGAAAGGUGUAACGACUUGGGCACUGUCUCAACGAGAGACCCGGUGAAAUUAUAGUACCUGUGAAGAUGCAGGUUACCCGCGACAGGACGGAAAGACCCCGUGGAGCUUUACUGCAGCCUGAUAUUGAAUUUUGGUACGUCAUGUACAGGAUAGGUGGGAGACAGAGAAGCCAGGACGCCAGUCUUGGCGGAGUCGCCCUUGGGAUACCACCCUUGUCGUACUGAAGUUCUAACCCGCACCCCUGAUCGGGGUGGGAGACCGUGUCAGGUGGGCAGUUUGACUGGGGCGGUCGCCUCCCAAAGAGUAACGGAGGCGCCCAAAGGUUCCCUCAGAAUGGUUGGAAAUCAUUCGAAGAGUGUAAAGGCAGAAGGGAGCUUGACUGCGAGACCUACAAGUCGAGCAGGGACGAAAGUCGGGCUUAGUGAUCCGGUGGUUCCGCAUGGAAGGGCCAUCGCUCAACGGAUAAAAGCUACCCCGGGGAUAACAGGCUUAUCUCCCCCAAGAGUCCACAUCGACGGGGAGGUUUGGCACCUCGAUGUCGGCUCAUCGCAUCCUGGGGCUGUAGUCGGUCCCAAGGGUUGGGCUGUUCGCCCAUUAAAGCGGUACGCGAGCUGGGUUCAGAACGUCGUGAGACAGUUCGGUCCCUAUCCGUCGCGGGCGCAGGAAAUUUGAGAGGAGCUGUCCUUAGUACGAGAGGACCGGGAUGGACGCACCGCUGGUGUACCAGUUGUCCUGCCAAGGGCACCGCUGGGUAGCUAUGUGCGGAAGGGAUAAGCGCUGAAAGCAUCUAAGCGUGAAGCCCCCCUCAAGAUGAGAUUUCCCAUUGCAUAAGCAAGUAAGAUCCCUCGAAGAUGACGAGGUAGAUAGGUCCGAGGUGGAAGCGUGGCGACACGUGCAGCUGACGGAUACUAAUCGAUCGAGGACUUAACCAAU